GAUGAAGAACGUAGCGAAAUGCGAUAAGUAAUGUGAAUUGCAGAAUUCAGUGAAACAUCGAAUCUUUGAACGCACCUUGCGCUCCUUGGUAUUCCGAGGAGCAUGCCUGUUUGAGUGUCAUUAAAUUCUCAACCAUUAUCAACUUUUGCUGAUAAUGGCUUGGAUGUGGGGGUCUAUUUUGCUGGCUUCUCAGAUAGUCAGCUCCCCUUAAAUGCAUUAGCCGGUGCCCCGCGUGGACUGUCUAUUGGUGUGAUAAUUAUCUACGCUAUAGACAUCUGCAAUCAUAUGGGUUUGCGCUGCUUCUAACAGUCUGUUGAUUCAGACAAUACAUGACAAUUUGACCUCAAAUCAGGUAGGACUACCCGCUGAACUUAAGCAUAUCAAUAAGCGGAGGA
rnacentral:misc_RNA from 1 species